rnacentral:rRNA from 1 species
UACAGAGGUCUCAAGCGUUGUUCGGAUUCAUUGGGCGUAAAGGGUGCGUAGGUGGCGCUGUAAGUCAGGGGUGAAAUUUCGGAGCUUAACUCCGAAACUGCAUUUGAUACUGCGGUGCUUGAGGACUGGAGAGGAGACUGGAAUUCACGGUGUAGCAGUGAAAUGCGUAGAGAUCGUGAGGAAGACCAGUGGCGAAGGCGGGUCUCUGGACAGUUCCUGACACUGAGGCACGAAGGCCAGGGGAGCAAACGGG